rnacentral:lncRNA from 1 species
GUCUUGCGCGGGGUCUCCCAGAGGAGGUGUGGUCCGCGAUCUCCGUUAGCUCCAAGGCGGAAGGAUCUGUCGUCCCACUGCAGUGUCGGGUUUCCGUUGUCAAAUAGGAAGUGAAGCCACGGGCCGCCAUCCUUAAGCAAUUCCCGCUAUCUCAGACUCCUGGUAUAGAUGGGAAGGGAUGUCCAUGGCUUAACUCCUGAGCUCCCUAGAACCACAGACGGGAUGGUUUAUAAAGAAUAGAGGUUCCAGAGGCAGGGAUAUUCAAGAACUGUGUGCCAGCCUUCCUGCUGCAUCUUGAUGCGAUAGAGAGAGUCACAUGCCCAGACAGACAAGCCUGCCUGCUCAGAUCUCACUUCUUCCUGUAAAGCCACUGGUGGUGUUUAUGGAAAGUCCAUGCUGGAAUAGAGCUAACAAGGACUGGGCUCUGCCCUCAUCGCCUCAUUUGAAGAACCUCCUUCUACAAGCCUCAUUUCAAUUAGCAACUCCAAUUUAAGGAUUGAGUUUCCAAGGCAUGGACUUUUGGGUGUCUGCUGAAACCCUGGCAAAGAAGGACGGCAUGCCUACCUCCCUUCUAGCCUCCCCUCCUCUUUCUCUCUCCUCCUUUCUGUUUAAAGCAGAGAUCAAGGAAUAAAAGCAAGGAUUGUUCUAUGGCAUGAAAAGGCAA